AGCCAUCUGGACCUUUCACGAUUUGGCCCAUUAGUCCCCCCUCAAUGCCUCCACAUACUUUGGCCUCCCUACACAGGACAGGAGAUAGCGGCUCAGAUGACGCCAAAGCUCUUCCUGGCCUUCCUGCUGGGCUGUCACCAACAGAGAGUGUAAAGGCAGCUGUGGGGAAGCAGAGCUCAUGUUCACCAGAUGCACUGAGAAACAGAUGAGAGAGAGUGGAGAAGAUGGAAAGAAGGACCUUGAAUGAAAGAAGAAGAUAUGGAGAGAUAGAAGGAAGAAGUGGAGUGAAGGGGGGAGGAGUGUGGACAGAGAUGUGUGCG